rnacentral:misc_RNA from 1 species
UUCUUAAUGGCAGUGAAGUUGGACUGGAAAACUUUGAAGUGAUUGGAGACAUUUUUUUCCAAGAUAAACUGGUGAUAUAUGACAAUGGUAAUCAUCAGAUCGGCUGGGUUCCUGCAAAAUGUGACAGACUUCCCCAGUCCUGAGCCAUUCUCUAGUAAUAUUCUUCCUUUGAUGCAAUUUUGCUGGAGGGCUUUCUCACUGGGAUUUUUUUUUUUGCUCAUGUUUAUUGACAG